CGUGCGCGCUCCGUCCCGGGCGCGGCGGCGGCCUCGGGGAAAAGUUGCCGGCAGGACGCGGCGGGUGCAGAUAGUGCUGGACUGUCCCUAUGGCGGAGAAGUUGGAUCCCCGACAUUCAGAGAGCAGCUCGGUGUUGGUGGGCAGUGAGGGUCUCCCCGUUGACACAGUGGGUCCAGAGCAGGACUCCCACAGGUCUGAUGAUGAGGAACUGGAGGAGGAGGAUGAAGGCACCCAGGACACAGUUACAGCCUUGACCACCAAUGGUGCCACUACCUUCCCCAGCCAGACCUUGUGCCCUGAGGGCAGUGAGCAGGGGGACCCAGAGGAGUGUGAAGACUCCAGGGCGUGGGCUGUGCCUGCCCUGGAUGACUCUGCAGAGUCCAGCACAUUGGAGGGCAAUGAGCAGGAGGAGCUGAAUGCGAAGGCUGAGCCAAAACACUGCCCUGACACCUCCCAAGCAGGGCCAACAAUGGAGGACGUGUGCUGCACCAGCAGUGAGAACAACACGGACGGGCUGCGGUGGCGGCAGGGCCACAAGCCCCAUCCUGGGCCCCCCACUGUCACACCUGCCCCACACCAAGGGACACCAGACACUGGUGAUGAUGGGCUCAGUAUGGGCAAGUACCUGCUGGGUGCCUUGGCACUGGUUGCUGUGGGGCUGCUGAUCAUCACUGGUGGUAUCUACGACACGGCAGAUGGUUCUAUGGAGAGUGUGGGGAGCUGGGACUUGGCUGCUGAGGAGCAGGAGUUGCUGCUGUCCAUAGACAGCAAUGACUCACAGCAGAAGCCCCCUCUGCCAGAUGCUGGAGGCCCACAGAGCAUGCAGUCCAUGAGCCAGCUCCUGGACAAGCUGGCCAAAGAGAACCAGGAGAUCCGGCUCAUGCAGGCGGAGUUACAGGCCCACAAGGAAGAGCUGCAGGCCCUGCUGCGCAAGAGUGAGGGUGAGGCGGCAGCGGCUGGAGCACAGCAACAGAGUCUGGCCGUAGAAAACGCGCAGCUGCGUGCUGCGCUGGAGCGGGAGGUCACGGCACUGCGGGAGGCCCAGGCUGAGCUGCGGCGGCUGCAGGCCACAGGGGCACCGGGCAGCACCAGGGAGCCAACAGCAGAGCAGCCGUGCGCCACAGGUGCACCAGCGUGCAGCAAGGCCGCGGCACGGCAGCGUGGCAGUCUGGAUUCAUUGCGGCAGGAGCUAGUGGCCACCCUGGACCGUGUGCGUGGCUCUGGGGAUCUCAAGGGGCUUGUGGAGGAACUAAGCACCCUGGACCAGCACUUGGCCCAGGUGCUGGAGGCAGAGGGGUUGGGGUCCUUCUCCAGACCCUGGAAGAAGCCAUUCAAGGUGGAGAAGGAGAGCAGGUGGCACAAGCAGCACGGCACCAGGGGGUCCCCCCACAAGCAGGAGAGGAGAGAGCAUGGUAAACCCCACAAGAAGGAUCCCCGAACCCCCCGUGAGCACAAGCCAGGCAAAGCCUGGGGGAAGGUGUCUCACAGUCACCCCCAGCAUGGUUCCCAUAAGUUGCCCCAGCUCAGGCGGUACCGGGCACCACAGGGCUGUUCUGGGGUGACUGACUGUGCCCACAAGGAGGGCCAGGAAGUGCUUGGGGCUGCACUGGAGCCAGUGCAGAAGGUGCAGUUCCUGCAGCUGCUGGAGAGCUUCAUGGGGAAGUUGGGCUUGGGGGGACAAUUUGGGAGCGUGGCACUGCGGCUUGAUGGGGUCUUUAGGGCUGAUGGUGUCUUUGCCCACGACCGCCUGCGGUUUGUCGAUUUUGUGGAUGAUGUGGAGGAGCUGCUUGAGGAGGUGGCGUGGCAGGAGUGGGGCGACAAGGAGGCGGUUGAUGGCUUCGAGGAGUACAUAUUGCAGCACUACAGUGGCACCUCUGGGAACGUGUGGAGCCAGAGAGCCCCAAGGCAGCAUGGCACGCGCUGGGUCCCGACGUCUGCACCGUUCUGCGCCUCUCUGGGCCCCUCAAGGAGCAGUACGCCAAGGAGCAUGGCCUCGACUUUCAGCGACUCCUGGAUGCCAGCGCCUACAAGGAGAUGUUUCGUCAGGACAUGAUCCGCUGGGGUGAGGAGAAGCGCCACACCGACCCGGGCUUCUUCUGCCGGGCAGCAGUGGAGGGGGCACUGCAGCCAGUGUGGAUCGUGAGUGACACACGGCGCCUCUCGGAUGUGGAAUGGUUCCGGGACGCCUUUGGGGAUGUGGUGCAGACUGUGCGGGUGGUGGCUACUGAGGAGACCAGGAAGAGGAGGAACUGGGUCUUUGUCACUG